ACAUUUUCUGACCAAACAAUGAGGUCAGGGUUUUGCACAGCGUGAGACUGGCCAGUUUCUAUGGUAAUUGUGAUAUCUGAUAGGACAGGAUGGUCAAAUCUGCAUCCUUUUAGCACGCCUAACAUUUUAAUCUCGGAUGUUUCCUACGGCAGAACGUUGAAGAUUUUAUGUUAAAAGAAAGCUUUGGAAUGUAUGUUCUUUAAUGUGGAUUAAUUUUUAGAGCUAUUUCCAGACAUUUCAAUACGGAUCGAAAUUGGAAAUAACUUGGUGAAUGAAGAGGAGAGUAUUUGCUGCCAUGUUUUAAAAAAUUCCAUUGGAAGGCAACUAAAUCUUUUUCAAAGAUGAUGAGGAUUUAAAAAGAGCUGUUCGGACUAACCGCUUGUAGGCCGAAUCAAUUUCUAUGGAAUUUCACUGAGUACGAUCAUGAAGGAAAAAUAAGAACAAGCAGUACAAGAAAGAAGAAAAUGCGUUCAAAAAUACAAUGGAGGACAGUGAUUGGUUAUAAACCUGUUAACAAAAAGUAUAUAUAAGAUAAACGAGUGGAAAACUUUUGAAAUUUAUUCUACUAGAUACAAAUUUCAAUCUAAAUCAGGGCAAAUUAUUUAUUGUUUUAACUGUAU